AUACGGAGGGUGCGAGCGUUAAUCGGAAUUACUGGGCGUAAAGCGUACGUAGGCGGUUGGUUAAGUUAGAUGUGAAAGCCCCGGGCUUAACCUGGGAACUGCAUUUAAAACUGGCGAACUAGAGUUGAGUAGAGGGGAGUGGAAUUUCAGGUGUAGCGGUGAAGUGCGUAGAGAUCUGAAGGAACACCAGUGGCGAAGGCGACUCCCUGGACUCGAACUGACGCUGAGGUACGAAAGCGUGGGUAGCAAACGGGAUUAGAAACCCUAGUAGUCC
rnacentral:rRNA from 1 species